UGUCAUUUUACCUAUUAAAUGAAAUAUUUUUAUCAUUUUCCUCAUUGUGAUAUAUUUUUGUGACCAAAACUUGAAAAUUGUCUAUUUAUGAGAAUCAUUCUAAAUUUAAAUGGAAUAAAAGGAAAAAAUAACACAAAAUGCUAAUUUGUAGAAGUUAUACCUCUAGUUCAUACACAUAAACUUACUACAAUUCUAUUAUUUAUCCGUCAUUUUCUACUUUUAAUAUUUCCAGUAUCUUAAAAAAGAUUUUGGAGUUAUUGGAACGAAUAUAAUAGAAAAAUAUUCAUAGUUACAAGUGGCUUCUAA
rnacentral:lncRNA from 1 species